rnacentral:rRNA from 1 species
CACGUAGGGCGCGAGCGUUGUCCGGAAUUAUUGGGCGUAAAGAGCUCGUAGGCGGCCUGUUGCGUCCGCUGUGAAAGCCCCGGGGCUUAACCCCGGGUCGCAGUGGAUACGGGCAGGCUAGAGGUAGGUAGGGGAGAAUGGAAUUCCCGGUGUAGCGGUGAAAUGCGCAGAUAUCGGGAGGAACACCGGUGGCGAAGGCGGUUCUCUGGGCCUUACCUGACGCUGAGGAGCGAAAGCGUGGGGAGCGAACAGG